UACGUAGGGGGCAAGCGUUGUCCGGAUUUAUUGGGCGUAAAGAGCGUGUAGGCGGCUUGGUAGGUCCGCUGUGAAAACUCGAGGCUCAACCUCGAGAUGUCGGCGGAAACCACUUGGCUAGAGUCCGGAAGAGGAGAGUGGAAUUCCCGGUGUAGCGGUGAAAUGCGCAGAUAUCGGGAAGAACACCUAUGGCGAAGGCAGCUCUCUGGGACGGUACUGACGCUGAGACGCGAAAGCGUGGGGAGCGAACAGGG
rnacentral:rRNA from 1 species